GACGAACGCUGGCGGCGUGCUUAACACAUGCAAGUCGAACGAGACCCCGUCUUCGGGUGGGUGUUCUAGUGGCGAACGGGUGAGUAACACGUGGGCAACCUGCCCCCGGCUCUGGGAUAACUCCAAGAAAUUGGGGCGUAAUAACCGGAUAUUUCCGCUGACCGCAUGGUCUGGUGGUGGAAAGGGUUUCCGGCNGGGGAUGGGCCCGCGGCCUAUCAGCUUGUUGGUGGGGUAGUGCCUACCAAGGCGACGACGGGUAGCCGGCCUGAGAGGGUGACCGG
rnacentral:rRNA from 1 species